GUAGUAGUGGUAUAUUAACAGAUAUUAUUAUUAUUAUUAUUAUUAUUAUUAUUAUCAUUAUUAUUAUUAUCA